AAGGGGCAUUGUGUAUUGUAGAAUCCGCCCAUUUGAAGAACCCUUUUCUGCCAAGUUUUUCCUCUCAAACCCGAGGACAGUAAAAAAUUUCCUUCUAGGAAGAUAGUUGCCAAACAAAAAAAAAAAAAAAAGGAAAGGAAUUACAUUUCUUCUUUGAAACCCGAGUAUUUUAAGGGUUGUUCUAAACGUGGAGCAGCCAAGGAAACUACGGAAAAAAAAAGUUGAAAGUAUUAAACAUUCUGCCAUUGGAGAAGGUUUGAUGUAGGAGGUAGGAAAGCUAGUAGAGAGGAGAAAAAUCUUUGAGCAUUUGAUUUAAUUUGAAGAAAGUUGUUGCCGUGAGGUUCUCUUCUGAACCCAUGUAGACACACCAAGAAAGAUUCGGUUGGAUACCAAUAAAGGUGUUGGAAAUUUUAUCAAACAUAGCCUAGCACCAAGGGGCAGAGAUUGGUGAAGUUUGAAAGGAGAGGAAAUGAAUGAUAUUUGGUAAUUUAAUUCCAAAUAGUUUGUUGGCCGAAUGUGUAGAUAGGUUGGCAUUUAACAUAUUACUAAGCAAUGCUAUGAUGUGUAUUGCUAGUGAAUAAUUGAGAUAGUGCCUCGGUUGUUAAACAAUAAUUGGUGAAGGCACAGGUGAUUGGAACAUUGGUCGAAGCAUUAAGCUGUCAAAGGCUUGGAUGGUGGUGGUGAUUUCAGUUGCUAUAUCCUUGGCUGAAUCAAGCUUAAGCUAAAGGAAGUUGAUUAGUAAUAUUGGUGAGAAAUCCCACCAAUUGACGUGAGUGGGCAAUUCCUUGUUAAAGUAUUAUUGAAUGGCGAAUAUGAUAUAUUAAAUAUGUUAGAUAUGUCCACUGUUUAGAUAUUAUUCAAUUACAUUGAGUUCUGAUGUUUA